rnacentral:rRNA from 1 species
AGUGAACGCUGGCGGCGUGCCUAACACAUGCAAGUCGAAGGAACUGGCGCAUGGGUGAGUACUAUAUAGCUAAUCUGCCGCUUGCUGGAGGACAACGGUUAGAAAUGUCUGAUAAUACUCCAUAGAAAGGGAUGAGAGUAUAUCGUACCAGCUAGUCGGUGGGGUAACGGCCUACCGAGGGUAUGACGCGUAACUGGUCUGAGCGGAUGAUCAGUCACAUUGGAACUGAGACACGGUCCGAACACCUACGAGAAGGAGCGGUAGGGUAUACUGCGCAUUGGGCGAAACCCUGACACAGCAACGGCUCGUGGAGCACGACACUUAUCGGAGCGUAAACGCCUUUUGUUAGGUAAGCGGUACCUAACGAAUAAGCACCGGCUAACUCCGUGCCAGCAGCCGCGGUAAUUC